rnacentral:rRNA from 1 species
AACGAACGCUGGCGGCAGGCCUAACACAUGCAAGUCGAGCGAGAUCUUCGGGUCUAGCGGCGGACGGGUGAGUAACGCGUGGGAAUAUGCCUCUUGGUACGGAAUAGCCUUGGGAAACUGGGAGUAAUACCGUAUGUGCCCUUUGGGGGAAAGAUUUAUCGCCAAGAGAUUAGCCCGCGUUGGAUUAGGUAGUUGGUGGGGUAAUGGCCUACCAAGCCGACGAUCCAUAGCUGGUUUGAGAGGAUGAUCAGCCACACUGGGACUGAGACACGGCCCAGACUCCUACGGGAGGCAGCAGUGGGGAAUCUUAGACAAGGGGGGCAACCCUGAUCUAGCCAUGCCGCGUGAGUGAUGAAGGCCUUAGGGUUGUAAAGCUCUUUCAGCUGGGAAGAUAAUGACGGUACCAGCAGAAGAAGCCCCGGCUAACUCCGUG